ensembl:lncRNA
GGAAAAAACAGCAGCCGACAGCCUGUAAACAACGUAGACUUGUGCGUAACAAGCAAGCGAAUAAUGAAGAAAGCCGAUUUUUAGACGGGAAACUGUUGUUAGAGAGAGAGCUGUGCAUGACGUGUGAUUUUAUCCUGGUGGAAGCAAAACAGUAAAAGUCAGAGAAUCCAUGACGAUCUUUGUGUUCACGUCUCUGUGCAGAGUCCGUGCUCCUGCUCUCAUUUACUGUUUCAGCUGUUUGGUGGUUGUUGAUAUUUUGUGAGGUUUCACCUGAGAUUCUGGUUUUUGGGCAAAAUUCAAUACAUUUAUAUUAAAAAAAUCAGGAUUUUAAUGAAUCGAUAUCACGUUAUCCAAGCGAGAAUCGAUUUUAAUCGAUGAAUCGAUUAUCAAAACCCAGCCCUAAUAGACACCCAUGAUUACUCAAGAAUGAGGUGACAUAGGAUUUUAAAAUUCAUAUCAUCAGUGCAGCUAUUAAAAGUUUAGGAUGAGUUUAAAUUCUGUUGACCCCAAGGUCAGAGGUCAAGUUUUCAGAAGAAUUUUCAAAUGUAUUCUGUAGAAGCUUUUAACCAUGAGGCUGAAGGGUGCUGGCAGCUGUUGGUUGGCUUGCAUGGAUCAUUCAAAAAUGAAAAAAGUCGUAAAGUGGAGCAUGAUCAAUGAGGAUUGUUUGUAGUUUGUACUUCAUGACUGUAAAAUAAUAUCAGUGUAGCAUCUCCUCACAGUUUCACUUUGAAAGCAUCUUCAUUAAUGUUGCCAGCUGGAAGGGAUCUCAAAGCUGCUUUGUAGGUGGCACAGUUUGUGAUAAAGCUACCAAAGGUCCACAAAGCAGUAAUUCCACUCAGACCCAUCUCACCACCGUCCCAGCUCCCCCAUGUGGGGAACACACCCCAUCACAUCAAAAACUCUACUGUCCUCACCAACAAGGUCCAAAAGCUUUCACUGAAUAAAGAUGAAACCACAGCGUCCUCUGAUCUCCCUUUUCACGUGUAUACCUACAACCAUAGUCCGUGUAGGUGGAGACAGAAAACAACUACAACAACACAGAAACAGCUUCACCCCCGAUCAGAUUUGCACACUGCUAAACCUCUGACACCCUUAAAUAUGAGGGUUUCUAUGGACACAAACAUCAACAGCGACCUUUACAUGGAAGAAGUGGAAAAUAAAGCUCUUGGCUCUGUUAAAGGGAAAGCACCUAACCACUACAGGUGGAUGACACCUGGCUCAAGACUAAAAGCACGAAGCAUGAGCCUCGCUGCUCACUGAGGAAAACAGAAACCUCAACACUGAAGUUCACAGGAAGCCCACACACACAGACCAGGACCUACUCUGUGACUCCCAUCACUCUCUGGAAUAAUCAGGACGCUGCAACUACCAAACGUGUGCAUCACACUACACUUUUAUUUUUCUUUCUGUAAAUAUAGGAUAUAAUUUACAGGGUAAUAAAGAAUUGGUUUUGGUUUAGAGUUAAUUUAUUUAUACAGUCACACAAUACUGUAAAGCAAGUGUGCACAUGUUAGCUUACACUGCUAUUUGUAUGAUUUAAUCUUUCUCUGUUUUCUGCGUUACGUCAGUGGCAGCUGCUCCAGUCCCUGGUUGAUGAGCUAGGAGGUGGAAAAGGGGGCGGAGCAAGCCUAUAUGGAGACCUGCAAAUUGGGUCAUACUACUACUCUGGAUCAUGGGGGGGGGGGUAAAUGGAAUUUGUUAUGUUAGUUUCAGUUAGGUUUUUGUGUGUUCUUUUUGUGUCUUUGUAGGCUGAUCAGACAUUAUUUAAGUCUCCUUCAGAAGGUCAGUUUGUUUGUGUUAGUAUUGUUUGUUGCCAGCUUUUGAGUCCAGUUCUGUUACUUGACCUCUUUUAUGGACCUGAGAUUUAGAUUCAUGUAUAAUUUAACCAAAGUUUGGGGUUUUUGCGUUAAAUAAAAAACCUUUUUUUGGACUAACCGGUGGCAGACUUUCAUUUACUGCUCAGUCCAUCAGGAAUACAAUCAAUUCAGUGUUGAACAUAUUAUAUUUACUUUAUUGCCAAAGUGUGAUAGACUCUAGUCUCCAGAAGUACA